CGCCCACGGAGUCCCCUUCGAGCCCACGUGACGUCUCCCGCGCUCCUUUCCCUUGAUCCGCCUGUCCGCUUUCGCGUUCUAGUGGGCGGCGGCUCAGUGAGCACCUGUCCUGCAAGGCACUCUCAAAACGGUCCAGAUCAUUAAAACGCGCUGGUUUUUGUAGAUGUCAGAGAAAGCCAGCAGGGAGGGAGAUCACUUAUAAGCAGCUAGUCUGAAGGGCUGAAUAGAGCCUCCACGUGCAAGAACAGUAUACCUGACACCGAGGACAAACCGGGAAAUUGCUUGUUCAAAGAGUCUCCUGAAUCAGGCCAUCGUGUUUUCGCAGUGGUCUACCACAUGAGAAGCCCACAAGAAGGAGCUGGGUGUAUCAGUGCUCCCCGUCAGGCUUACCAUUUUCGCAAGUUUGGCCAUUUGCAGCCAGUGGGAUCCUAACUUGGAGGAAGACGAUCUUACAGCACCUGGAGAUGAGACAUUAUCCUCUAAGAGGAUAUGGAAACUGUGCAGCUCCUGUUUACUUUCCACCAGGCACCCCUCCUCUUUCCCCUAAUUCUUCGCAAAGUUAAAACUCCUGGAUCUGGUUGCAAGUGUUUAGUUUUGCGGUUUAGGGCUGGUUUCUUAGGAGCA